GACGGGGGAGGCAAGUGUUCUUCGGAAUGACUGGGCGUAAAGGGCACGUAGGCGGUGAAUCGGGUUGAAAGUGAAAGUCGCCAAAAAGUGGCGGAAUGCUCUCGAAACCAAUUCACUUGAGUGAGACAGAGGAGAGUGGAAUUUCCGGUGUAGCGGUGAAAUGCGUAGAUAUCGGAAGGAACACCUGUGGCGAAAGCGGAUCUCUGGGCCGAUACUGACGCUGAGGAGCGAAAGCGUGGGGAGCGAACAGG
rnacentral:rRNA from 1 species